UACAGAGGGGGCAAGCGUUGUUCGGAAUUACUGGGCGUAAAGGGCGCGUAGGCGGCCCGCUAAGUCGAACGUGAAAUCCCCGGGCUCAACCCGGGAACUGCGUCCGAUACUGGCAGGCUAGAGUAUGGGAGAGGGAUGUAGAAUUCCAGGUGUAGCGGUGAAAUGCGUAGAUAUCUGGAGGAAUACCGGUGGCGAAGGCGGCAUCCUGGACCAUUACUGACGCUGAGGCGCGAAAGCUAGGGGAGCAAACGGG
rnacentral:rRNA from 1 species